UGGAAGGUGAGGGGGUGAAAGGAGAGCGGAAGUGUAGGGGUGUGAGGUGAAGAGUGAAGAGAAGCCGGAUUGUCUUCGUCCGUCCUCAGCCGGAAACACCUAAAAUGGAAAAGCUAAAACCGUGCUAGGAAGGCCGAUGUGAGCAAAAUUGAGCUGAUGCCCAUGCUCGCCCAGCCGGGUGUGAGAAGACACGUUCCAGUGAGGGCCACCUCAGGUGGUGGAAAACGGGGUCCUGGUCCUGGGGGCUUGAGGCGGCUCUUUGCAGGCCAGCGAGCUGGGGAGACACGGAGCCCAUCAGAGCUCCCACCCGCUGCCCCGGCCAGUCAGCUGUGGCCAGCUGAGGUACGCUGUACUAGAGACCACAGGGCCGGACCCCCAGCCAUGAGGAUGCAGAGAGAAGGUGAGUGUAGUAGGCCCGGCUCUUCUCGAAACCUCCCAGCCCACCCGGGGACCCAUACAAAGCACAGAUGUGGAAACGAAGGCACGGGGAGGGUAGAUCCGUGUCCGCGGCUGCUGUAACACAUCACCGCAAACAUAGCACAACAGAAAUGUUUUCUCUCUGGAGUCUGCCCUUGGGGAGGCAGAGCCAUACUCCCUCCGGAGGCUGCGGUGGAGAAGCUGUUCCAUGUGCCUCUCCCAGCUUCUGGUGGCCGUCCUCGGUGGGUGGCCACAUCACUCCAGUCUUUAAGGCCGGCACCUUCAAAUCUCUCUGAGCUCUGCCUUCAUGGUACCUUCUCCCCUGGGGCACGUCAGGCUUCUCUGACAGGACAUCUGUGCUUAUGUUGAGGGCCGGCCAGAUACCCAGGAUAGACUCUGGAUUGUCAAAAUCUCUAAUUUAAUCACAUCAGCAAGGACUCUUUUUCAAAUAAAAUAACAUUUACAGUUUACA
rnacentral:lncRNA from 1 species